GUGGGUUAUUUUAGUGAUCUGAGUUGGCUUGUAUUGUGGCAGAAAUGGAGAAAAUGGGAUGAGAAAGAGUCCGAGGGGUGUAGCCCCAGGUUUUUACUGCUUGUGUGUUGUGGCUGCCCUGACUCCGUUUGCGGGGGUGGGGGGUGGGGGGGGGAAGGCAUGCCACCCCUGGUGUCUCCUGUCCCCACCACCGGGGAUCGCACUGAUGCCGCGAGCCGUUGACCGACUUCCAGCACAAGCAUGGCGCCUUCCAGUCAGAGGUUUUUGCCUUAGGAUGUUCUGCGACGGGCUUUUGGAAGCCAGGCCCGGCGGUUGUCACUCAUGGGCGACGUAAGCACCUCCUCUCAGGCCCCUUACCGUCUGGUGGAGGAGAUUUGAGUUAGCAGGACGCAGUGAUCGGUAAAUGCGGGAGACUUCAGGUGGCUCCUAGGAAAACAGCCUCAGAGCAGAGAGGAGCAGAGGACGCCGGCUCUUCAGGGAGAGAUGGAGGCCGGGGGAGCCGAGGGACCCGCUGGGAGCCCGGCGGCAGCACAGAGCAGAGUCAGGACGAGCCCCCAGUGCUGGGCCUGUCCUGCCACACCGCACUGCCUCCCGGGGACCCCUCAGAGACCCCCGUUCAGGGUGACCGCUGAGGACAGCAGGGCAGACAGGCAACGGCACCGGGUCUGGAGGGACUUUAGCAGAAGGAAACGGGGAUGCCCGGGGUCGGUCGUCACAGAGGAGAUGACGCCGUCUGAGCACAUCGAAGCCUUGCGGGCGGCGAGUAACUCAAGAAACUGGGAAAGCGGGCCAGGGAGGGCAUCUUUAACAACCAGCGCGUGCGCGCGCCCCACCUCUGUCUCUUCCUUGGGCGGCAAGCCGGGCUCUGAGGCCUUUUUCUACCCUGCAGAGGCACCGAGGACACAUGUUGACUCUGCCAAUUGUAUUGUUUUGUAUUUUCCUAAGAGUACUUAUUUAGAAAUUAAGGACCGUGGAUGAAAAAAGGGAGUGAUGAUGCUACAGAAAAUAGAGGCAGACUAAUUUCCCAUCCGGUGCCUUGUCGAGCAGGGCCACGUGCCACCGAGUCUCAUCCACGGGUGGAAUUUGUCUCAGAGAAGAUAAAAAUUGUGUUUGAAGAUGACUUGUGAUGCACGAAGUGGUUUUGUCUCACACGUAAAUACAGAUUUAAGGUGAUAUUAACUGAAGACUCUGAGUGGAGAAGAUUGGGUCUGCAGGCUGAGAUGGAGAUCUCCUGGGCAGGAGUGGGAGACCUGAGUUCUUGUCCUGAUCCUGGCGGGAACCAGUCCCCUCUGUUCCACCAAGCGAGAGCCUCAAGUCCUGCUCUGCCCACGCGGGAGGAUGUUCUGUCAGAGGAGCGCAAGUUUGCACAAGAGUUUUGAAAACCCCAAAGCACUAGACAGAUAUAAGAGAUUUCCCCUUUGGUUUUCUUUUCUUUUGUCUCUGACGAAAAUUCAGCAUCAUCACUUGUUAAUUGGCCAGUAAGAUCACAAUCAGUAAGAUGCACAAUCCUACUUUUCUUUCCCAGAAGAUUAAUACGCAGCUGUAGAUUUCAGGAUCAUUUAAAGCGUUCUUUGAAAAUCUGACCCUUCAUAACAGACAGACGCUCCCAGAAAACAAUAACAAUGAAAUAAUAACAAUAAUGACAACAAUAAAUGCUAAAAAUGGAAACGGGCACCUUACAAUGACAGCUUAACUGUUGGUGAAGAAAGGAAGACUUUCUUAGAAAGACAUUUCUUCCCGUUCAAAAUGUAGACCUGAGCGUUUAACUAGGAAGGAAAGAAGGGAAAACAACUGAAAAUGAAAUAAAUGGCUUCAGUUUACCCAGGUUAUUUCUAAACAGUAAUACAGAAAUGUAAUAGAAAUAAUUUAGACAUAUGGAUAAGAACCUUCAAAAUCGAUAGUGCUGGAAGAAAUGAAGCAUAUGCUGAUGCAAUCAAACAGAAUUGAAUUUCAUACAAUGUUAGCAAAUCUAUAUCAGAUUAUCACAGCAAAAACUUCAUUUUCAUUGAUUUAUAAUGUAUUAUUAUUGUUUCCACCAAACUGCCAUAGACAGCCAUUUAGCAGCUGCCAAGUGCCUUACGGGUAAAUAAGGGAUAUCACGGAUUGGGGGGAGAGCCGUUUAGGAGCCAAUAACUCAGGAGGGCGGCAGGUGCGCGUCCUCACGAUUCCUUGCUGGUUCCUUUUAAUCGCGUUAGAUCAUUCUUGAGACUUUUGGCUGUUAGUUUGGUAUUCACACAUGAGUGAGGAAAAAGGAAGGAAAUGUUUGUAACACAGAAACAUUUAGCAAAAAUGAGGCUAAAUGGGACCAUCAAACGCUUGCACAUGUCCACAUCCUUAUCUGUGUCUCUAUGUAAUUAUUCAAACCAAUAUUGUUUCUAGGAGCUGUGGCUCCCUCGUGGCCUGCUCUCUGCUAAGCCCCAUG
ensembl:lncRNA